rnacentral:rRNA from 1 species
CAGCAGCCACGGGAACACGAAGGGUGCAAGCGUUAAUCGGAAUUACUGGGCGUAAAGCGCACGUAGGCGGAUCGAUCAGUCAGGGGUGAAAUCCCAGGGCUCAACCCUGGAACUGCCUUUGAUACUGUCGAUCUGGAGUAUGGAAGAGGUGAGUGGAAUUCCGAGUGUAGAGGUGAAAUUCGUAGAUAUUCGGAGGAACACCAGUGGCGAAGGCGGCUCACUGGUCCAUUACUGACGCUGAGGUGCGAAAGCGUGGGGAGCAAACAGGAUUAGAUACCCCUGUAGUCCCUGUCUCUUAUAC